rnacentral:misc_RNA from 1 species
AGGCCAUGCAGGAUGUACCUUACAACUGUGAAAGGAGGAACACUAACAUGUCUACUGGUUCUGGAGGAACAAAAGGAUCCAAGAGAGUGCUAGCACCUAAUGCAGAAGACCAAGUUGGUAGAGUAACUAGGCAAAAGACAAAGGAACAAUCCUCAGCAGAGAAAGAUGUACGUGGUUCAACUACAAAUACAGAAGAGCAGGCAUUGAUAUCUGCCAAUUGUCCUGCACAACAUGAUGAUGAGAUUCAGAUCUGUGAUGAAGGUCAAACAGAUGCCAUGAUGGAUAAAUGGAUAAGGGGGAAAAGUAUGGGCAGGAAAUUGGAACGGAUAAGCCGAGGCUUAAAUACAAAGAUCCCAUUGGUCAUCUCUGAAGGCAAAAGACGUCCAGAGGUUCCUAUGCAAGCUGCAAUGCUUGCAUCGGAAGGAGGAAUUUCACUUAGGCAACAUAUACCGAUCCUAACGCACUGGAAGGAUUACAAGAAUGACAAGUCCUAUUUAGAAGACUUCGUCGGAAGAAUCGGUGGUCAAUUUGCCGUCGACACCAAAAACAAAGAUGUCAGAUUUGCAUGUGCUGAUGUGAUGAGGUGUGUGCAGUGACAAAUGAGAUAUAAGCUCAAGAAAGCUUACUUUAAUGGUGUGGCUGCUGACAAAGUGAGAACAACAUCACCAUUGGGUACUAUGACAGAUGAGCAAUGGAUGCAACUAGUGAAUAUGUGGUCUACCCCAAAGCACAAGGACAAGUGUGAGAACAACAAAGUGAUUCGUGGCAAAGUUCGGUUCCAGCAAAAGAUAGGAUCUCGGAGUUACAUUGCACAUUUGCAUUCCGUG